GCGCCGGUGGUGUAAAGGCGAACAUCGCUGCCCGGAAAGCAGAAGAUGCGGGUUCGAGUCCCGCCUGGCGCA
rnacentral:tRNA from 1 species